rnacentral:lncRNA from 1 species
UACAGGAGAUAGGGCGUGGUAAAGCCGGCUGGGAAAAUGGGUGGGACCUGUCAAUCACAAGAUCCCAGGGCAACGCCAGGAUCCCGUAUGUAGAACUUCUAGAGCGCUCCCCUGAGUUGUGGGUGGCGUAAAAAGAAGGCCAUCGCGGGAAGCGGCUGUCAUGCAGAACAUGUAUCCAGUGCAGAUACAGAGGAUUCUCUCCACUUGCCCCCCUCGGCAGGGCAUAUUUAAGAAGGAAAUCAACCAGUACCUGGCGUGCACCUAGCAUAGCAGGUAAAUUGUUAACCACCUGACUUUUUUUUUUAACAACACCGUAAUUGAGUGUGAUAUUAAAACAGAACCUCUUUAUUUUAAACUAGUGGUUCAUAGUCUUGCUUUAGAUCCCCCUAACUACUCUUUAAGAGCUUUUAAAAGUGUUUUUUUUUUUUUUGUACAGUAGGAGGAAAAGUCCAGACCUAGAAUGACAAAUCAACAUGUAUCAAUCACUUUCAUAUGCUUGCUACUGAAGGGUGCUGGGUUACCACAAAAAAGAUCGUAAAUCUGUGAUCUUUGGACCAAGUCAUUAUGGGACCAACUUUUUUUUCUUCCUUUUUUUUGGUCUUUUUUGAGACAGGGUCUUGCUAUGCAUGCAGUUCAGGCUGGCGUUGAGCUCACUUUGUGGCCCAGGCUGGGCUUGAACUUGUAAUGAUCCUCCUGCCUCAGCCUCCCAAGUGCUGGGACUGCAGGCAUGCACCACUAUGUCCAGCUAUCGUGGGACCAACUUUUCACAUUUUAACAUAAUCCUGUAGUUAAGUGUUAUUUCUGGCCUGUGUUUUUGUUUAUAGUACCUCCUAUAGAGGUUUGAUGGUUCAAGAAGUAUGAAAUUG